CAGUAGCCGCGGGAAUACAGAGGGUGCAAGCGUUAAUCGGAUUUACUGGGCGUAAAGGGCGCGUAGGUGGUUAUGUAAGUGAGAUGUGAAAUCCCCGGGCUCAACCUGGGAACUGCAUCUUAUACUGCGUAGCUGGAGUGCAGUAGAGGGUAGUGGAAUUUCCGGUGUAGCGGUGAAAUGCGUAGAUAUCGGAAGGAACACCAGUGGCGAAGGCGGCUACCUGGACUGACACUGACACUGAGGCGCGAAAGCGUGGGGAGCAAACAGGAUUAGAUACCCCCGUAGUCCCUGUCUCUUAUAC
rnacentral:rRNA from 1 species